rnacentral:rRNA from 1 species
GACGAACGCUGGCGGCGUGCUUAACACAUGCAAGUCGAAUGGAAAGGCCCUGCUUUUGUGGGGUGCUCGAGUGGCGAACGGGUGAGUAACACGUGAGUAACCUGCCCUUGACUUUGGGAUAACUUCAGGAAACUGGGGCUAAUACCGGAUAGGAGCUCCUGCUGCAUGGUGGGGGUUGGAAAGUUUCGGCGGUUGGGGAUGGACUCGCGGCUUAUCAGCUUGAUGGUGGGGUAGUGGCUUACCAAGGCUUUGACGGGUAGCCGGCCUGAGAGGGUGACCGGCCACAUUGGGACUGAGAUACGGCCCAGACUCCUACGGGAGGCAGCAGUGGGGAAUAUUGCACAAUGGGCGGAAGCCUGAUGCAGCAACGCCGCGUGCGGGAUGACGGCCUUCGGGUUGUAAACCGCUUUCGCCUGUGACGAAGCGUGAGUGGCGGUAAUGGGUAAAGAAGCACCGGCUAACUACGUG